UCGCCUGUCAAAAACGUGUUCUGGCUCCGUUUUGGACAAUGAUAUCUAGCCCUCAGAUACAAUAGAUAGAUAGAACUAAAGCCGAGGAGCCCUCAUUGGUGCCUGCAACUAUAUUUUGACAUUUGUGUUGUCAGUUCGGAUCUCUCUAACCACCAUUGUUUUCUAAUGUAUUUCAGCUCUGACUAUCAGUCAGUAACUUUUCUUUUGACAAAUUGUUCUUUCCACAAAUCAAAGGAAAUUCAGAAUGAUUUCUUGAUCAGGUCAAUUAUGAAUUCCUGAAGAACAUAUAAUAGUAGAUAUUUUGUUGAAAUAUUAUUUGUUUAAUCUUUCCAAGCUGUGAAUAAUGUCAUCAGGCUAUUGUUGGUGUCUUGUGAGAAAAGGAAUUGUUAGCAUAUAUAUAUAUAUAUAUAUACAUGUAUAAUCACUGGUAAUUGUUUUAUGUUUCAAUGUCUUCUUCACAAUGGCAUUCUUAAUGUCAGUGUUUUUCCAAAUUCUUCAUAGUUUUUAGAUAAUAAUUCUGAAAAAAUAUAUGUCAUGUAAUGUCAUUUAUAUAUUGUGCGAUGCGAUGAAGCUAUAUAUAAAUGUUGAUAGAUAUAUUUUUUAGGUUUAGCUUCAGAACUCAUGAGGAGGAUAGGAAGCUAGCUCCUGUUCAGAAAAGAAAAAUAGUACGCUUUUAAAUUGAUAUGCGGACAAAUUUAAGGGGAGCUAUUUAUGUGUAUAGACCCAGAUAAAUGAAGUCGGUGUAUAUGAUAGGCUUACUGGUUUUUCACAUCUUCCAACAGGAAUCUACCAGGGUCUGUUGUCCUAUCCUAGAGGUUCUCAGUAAUAAUUGUCCUGAAAGUUGUUCCAGAAUAACCUUAGUUGUAAAACCCAAAAAAAAUGUAGAUGACCUGUUAAAACAAAAGAAAUUGUGGUUCUUCACCCAAAGGCAGAAAUAGCCGGUCGUUAAGAAACAAGCAGGACCUCCCGUCAACGUAAACAGGAACUGGAUGGUCUCUUUGCCACUUGCAAUGUUUUUGUGUGGGAUUCUUUCAGUUUCCAUGUAUUGGGAUCAUGUAGUCAGGCUGCCAAACUGAAUUAUCUGGUGCAGACUGUUGUCAUCUGGUUGGAAUAUUGCAAUAACCAUUCAGCAGCAAACAAGCAGUUACAAUUUGGUUUCUGGCUUUUAAAGAACCUUUCGAAAACUUCCGAAACGUAUUUUCCCCAAUUUUGCAAAUACAUUUGUCUUCCUAAAGCUUCUAUUGGAUACGUUUAUAUCUUAAAGUUUAUAUAUCUGGCACUGAAAUCCUAUUUCAUGUCAGUCAUUAUAUGGUGCGGGGCUGGUUUAAACCCAUAUAUGGCAAACUUGUAAAAUUAAAAUAUUUUCUGUUUUUUUUCCACUGCCUGAUUCCAUAUUUACAGUCAAGUAUUCACAUUUUACAAAUAUUGCAUUUUACAUUUUGAUUAUAUGAAACAAACACAAGAAUGUUUCUUUAAUGGAUAGACAUCCAUGUUGGUGCUGUUGAGGUUCAGUAAUGAAGAAGAAUGAUGUAAGAAGAGUACAAAUGUUUUAUAUCCGAUGAAAAUACAAACUUAUUCCUUAAGGCUUGAGGCAUACCCCAGCUCUUAAUAUUGUCUAUAUAAGUGCUGACUGUAACUGACAGUACCAUUGUAUACAUGUUGUCAAUAUUUGUCAUACACCAACUGGUUCUCACCAGCAAACACCAUUGAUCAAUGCAUCAGCACCUAAACACCUUCAAACACCAACAACAACAUAACAUACUCAUUUUCUUGGAAAGUGAUGCUGUUCAUUUUCUUCUCAGAGUCAAGUCAAUUAUAUGUUUUUAUUGACUUGAAGUGUAAGUCCCUUGAACAACAAAUUUAUUGGGAUAUAAACUAUAUAUAGAAUGUAUCUUAUAUAGCAGUGAACUCUUAAACUGCUUCAUUUGUGCUGUUCAUAGUAUGCUGUUCACUGUGUGCUGUUCAUAGUUUGCUGUUCAGUGAGCUGCUGACUGUGCUGUUCAUAAUAUGUUGUUCACUGUGUGCUGUUCAUAGUAUGCUGUGAGCUGUGUGCUGUUCAUAGUAUGCUGUGAGCUGUUCACUGUAUGCUGUUCAUAAUAUUUUGUUCACUGUGAGCUGCUGUGUGCUGUUCAUAGUAUGUUGUUCACUGUGAGCUGCUGACUGUGUGCUGUUCAUAGUAUGUUGUUCACUGUGAGCUGCUGACUGUGCUGUUCUGCUGACUGUGUGCUGUUCAUAGUAUGUUGUUCACUGUGAGCUGCUGACUGUGUGCUGUUCAUAGUAUGUUGUUCACUGUGAGCUGCUGACUGUGCUGUUCAUAGUAUGUUGUUCACUGUGAGCUGCUGACUGUGCUGUUCAUAAUAUGCUGUUCACUGUGAGCUGCUGACUGUGCUGUUCAUACAUCAAAUGUAUGCAGCAACGUACCCAAGUGCUUAUGAUUGUUAUUAUGUUAAAUAUGUGCAUAGGAAAAAAGGUAUCAUAGUAACAACAUAAAAGAUAUAUUAUCCCUGUUAAAAUAAUUGUUUAAGAUAUAUAUUCUUCUAGUCAUGGAAUGGAACUUCUUUGAAGUUAUAAUAUCAGAUUAUUUUUAACUGAAUCACCAGUCAAUUGAAGCAAAAUAUGUACACAGCUAAUAUCAAUUUCUGGCUUAGUUGACAGUGCAAAUGCAGUGAUAAUCUUUAUCUCUCUAUAUAAAACAAUUCCUCGCCUAACAGGAAGUACCACUGAACUUGUGAAUUAUCAUGUCUAGUGAUGUUUGAUUCAAAGUUUCCAAUUUUCAUUUACUAACUUUGUUUGUUCACCUCCAACAUUAUGUAGUUUUGACAGUGAUCUUUUUUGGCGGGCCAUCCACGGACCCUUAAGACCCACGUUAUAGAGAGGGAUGACUGUAUAUAGUGGCAUCCUCAAUUUAUAUAUAAAAGCAGAUAUUUCACUCCAAUGAUUGCCGAGGGGACUUAGGUUCUUAAGCUUUCUUAAAUAGGUAUGAUUUAUUUCUUUAGCAUCUUCAUUUCAUAUUUCUUUGUGCCAUAAGAAACCAAAAUUUCUUCGAUGGAACUUGUACAGGUUUGGAAUAUAUACUAUGGAUCUUAGAAACAUAUUAGAUACCCUUGUAGACAUAAUGGUGCAAUAAUGACUACUGUAUUUACAUUCAAAACUGGUUGUUUCAAUUACACUACUUUACUAAUACCGAGAAUGACCAGCCUGACUGGCUGAUUUACCAUGUCAUGUGACUCGACUCCCAUCGUGUGUUCAGAUAUUGAUUCAAAAGUAUCCUAUCACAGUAAUUUGAAUGAACUGACUUCUCAGGCCACUGUUUCAAGAGAAUAUGUUUUCUUGUGUAAAACAGUAAAAAUACCAUUUUGUUUCAAAUCAAGUCUUGGAAAGAACAAACUUGGUCACCAAUGUCAACCUUGCAAUAAAUGAUAACCAGAGAAGAUGAUUUCAAUUAUUCCUGUACAUUUAUAUAAACUUUCUUACAUGCAGCAAACAAAAAUAUUGAGUUUGUUUUAUUUCUAAAUACCAAUCACCUGAACUUUGUUUGCUCCUUGUGAUCAAGCAGCGAUUCAGUUAAAUACAUACCCCCAAAUAGCUCAAGAUUUUUAAUACAAUGUUUAGAGCACUGAUCAAAUUAUGGACACAUAAGUACACCAUGAGCAUUUAGUGCACAGCCCAUCAUGAGCAGCAUGCUAUGAACAGCACACUGCAGGGCUCGAUUUAAGAGAUGUUAUCCUACUUGAACCAGGUGCAACCUGAGAUAAAAACCUAGUAGAACCAGCCAAAUUCCAGUUGCAACGCCGUGUGUAUGUAUGCGACAGUAUGACUUGUCCUAGACUGUGCUUCCAAGGGUAUUUCCUUGCUGGUUUCAUAAACAGUUGACUGUAUUUGCUAAUAUAUUCAUAUGUGUAAGUGGUGUAUGUUUUAUUUCACCAGAAUUACACCUAAGCCAACAUGCAUAGAUGUAAAUAUGCUACCCCAGAUAUCAUUGAAACAUUCAAAUAUACAGUGGAAGCCCUCCAAUCCGGCAGCCCUCCAAUCCGGCAUGCUCUCAAUAUCGGCACUAGAAUUUGGUCCCGACAGAUGGUGUUUAAUUUAUUAUCAUUCUCUAAACCGGCACGACCUCUAUACCGGCAUUUUUUGUCGGUCCCAACGAGUGCCGGUUUAGAGGGCUUCCACUGUUUAUGUGUACAUAAUACCUAUGUUAAUCCACAUGUAUGUGUCUAACACAAGUAAGCUGAUGUGUGUUUACAAACAGGCUUGACAGUUAAUGUUUGAACUGAAUUUUGACCAAAGCAUGUAUUUGUAUUCUGUAUAGACAGCUAUAUUUCUUGAAUGGAGACUACACAUGAAAAGUUCAUGCCAGAUUGUCUAAACUCUGGUAACUAAUUUGGUAUGUAUUUGUUUAUACCAGAGUCAAGGCAUCAUCAAGUAGCGUAUGUAGUCAUGUAAUUGUCCGUUGUUACACUGCUUGCAAUAUACCCAUGUGCAGUGAAAGAUAAUGACAAUAGCCCUUGAUUUUAUGAUGAAAAUAGAUUUGUAUCUACGGUAAUUUAGAAUAAAAGCAUUUAUGCCAGAAAUGCUUUCAGUUCACCUUGGUGAUAUUGUUGUAGAAUCAGCGGCUAUGAUGAAAAUAGAUUUGUAUUUACGGUAACUUAGAUUAAAAGCAUUUGUGCCAGAAAUACUUUCAGUUAGCCUUGGUGAUAUUGUUGUAGAAUCAGCAACUAUGAUGAAAAUAGAUUUGUAUCUACGGUAACUUAGAUUAAACGCAUUUAUGCCAGAAAUACUUUCAGUUAGCCUUGGUGAUAUUGUUCUAGAAUCAGCGGCUAUGAUGAAAAUAGAUUUGUAUCUACGGUAACUUAGAUUAAAAGCAUUUAUGCCAGAAAUACUUUCAGUUAGCCUUGGUGAUAUUGUUGUAGGAUUAGUGGCUUGUUUCACCACACAUUAUUUUUUUCUAUGUUAUUGAGUUUGUUGAAAUGUUUGAAAUCUGACAUAAUUCAGCUUUUGAUCCAGUAUAAUCUUUUUCAUCAUUUUUGAUUGAUGAGACAACAAAGUUAUUCAACAAAAUUUGACAAGUUUCCUAGAUUUAUUAAUGUAAUAUUCGAAUAGGAAGAAGUGUGGUGUGCAUGAAUUCACAAUGGAAGUGUUUGUGUAGAUUUUAGCAAAUGACCAACCACAUUAGAUUCUUAGAGGUGACAUGGGAAGUUUGUAAGCCCUUUUUAUUAUUUGAUGGAUCACACAUGUUUCAACAUCAACAUCUGGAUGUAAUUCAUUAUAGGCUUUUGGAAACACUACACUAGUAUAAUUUUCAUCAUCCAGAUUAGUAUUGCUACUACUUAAUGAAAUACAAACAAAUUUCAUGUUUCUGCAUGGCAAGAUACCAAAAGAUAAUUUGUUCUUUUGGUGGUUGGAUAAAUAUAUGUUUGUACAUAGUCUUCAUCAUUUCUUAUGAAUAACAGUGAUAAAGUUGCAUGUCUUUUCCUUCACCUGAUUGGAAAAGUCCUGAAAUGUUUUUAUGAAAAUCAAUAUGUGGUUUUCUUACUUCAGUCAUGUAAACCAACUCUGAAAGUUAUACAGCCUUACAGACAGGACAUGUAUUUCGGCCUCUAACCUGUUAUCACUGAAUGGAAGAACAGGAAUUGAUUUUGUGAGAAACCAUGACACACUUUUUUCAGUAUAUCCAACAAGUCCGUUGAACAGGUUUUAUUUUCCUUUUGUACACUGAAAUUGUAAUUUUCAAACAUUUUUUUGAAGAAGUCCCAGUUCCUCAUCAUCAAAGUAUAGCAUAAGGUCAGUGCCUUUGUGAGUAUCUUUGUGUCUCCUACAUUCCAUAAAUACAUACCUAUCUAAACCAUCACCAUAUCAACACAUUAUCUGGGUUGGCAUAAAGGUGAGAACACAGUCUGUGGUUUUAUCCACAGGUUAUACUUCUCAUGCAGUAGACCUGUAACAGGGCAUAAAGGAGAGAACACAGUCUGUGGUUUUAUCCACAGGUUAUACUUCUCAUGCAGUAGACCUGUAACAGGGCAUAAAGGUGAGAACACAGUCUGUGGUUUUAUCCACAGGUUAUACUUCUCAUGCAGUAGACCUGUAACAGGGCAUAAAGGAGAGAACACAGUCUGUGGUUUUAUCCACAGGUUAUACUUCUCAUGCAGUAGACCUGUAACAGGGCAUAAAGGAGAGAACACAGUCUGUGGUUUUAUCCACAGGUUAUACUUCUCAUGCAGUAGACCUGUAACAGGGCAUAAAGGAGAGAACACAGUCUGUGGUUUUAUCCACAGGUUAUACUUCUCAUGCAGUAGACCUGUAACAGGGCAUAAAGGAGAGAACACAGUCUGUGGUUUUAUCCACAGGUUAUACUUCUCAUGCAGUAGACCUGUAACAGGGCAUAA
rnacentral:lncRNA from 1 species